CACUCCGCUCGGCCGCACGAUCGCCCGCUCGCGUCCUCUCCCACACGAUCGCCCUCACGCCGCUCAUUCCGCUCCCACAUUCCGCUCCUCUCCCAAUCUUGCGCUCCUCCAGCGCCGCUCGCGCCCGCGCUCACGCUCCGCAUCCACAUCCUCAUCCUGCGCGCCGCUGCCGUCGCCUCCCGUGUCGCCCUCGUUGUCGGUCGCCUCCCCGCCAACGAGUCACCGUCGACGACGUCCGCCGCCGAAUAUUCCUUCGCUCCCCUCGCGAUUCCUUCACUCCCCUCGCGAUUCCUUCGCCUCCCUUGCGAUUCCUCUGCCGUGCCCGCGCCCGCGCUCACGCUCCGCAUCCUCAUCCUCAUCGCUCCCCGCCCCUUCCUCAUCUUGCGCGCUGCCACCGUCGCCCUCGCCGUCGGUCGCCUCCCCGCCAACGAGUCACCAUCGACGACGUCCGCCGCCGAAUAUUCCUUCGCUCCCCUCGCGAUUCCUUCACUCCCCUCGCGAUUCCUUCGCCUCCCUUGCGAUUCCUCUGCCGUGCCCGCGCCCGCGCUCACGCUCCGCAUCCUCAUCCUCAUCGCUCCCCGCCCCUUCCUCAUCUUGCGCGCUGCCACCGUCGCCCUCGCCGUCGGUCGCCUUCCCGUCGAUGAAUCACCGUCGACGACGUCCAGGACCCCACCUUCAAAGUUCCAACGCCGCCGACAGCCAUCCUUGCCGUUCGCACGCUGUGCUCCGCCGAAGGGAACCCAUUCCUAGGGUUUUGCCGCUGCCACCAAUCCGCGCCUCGAUCUGCGCUGUUGCGCCGCCGCCAUCCCCGACUCCAAUGACGCCAUCGGUUGCAGUCGUCGUUGUGGCUGCUGGGAUAACAACACCGGAGGCAGGAGUGAGGAGGAUGCAACGGUGGAGAACACCAGCGUGGGGAGCGUGUCGGUGGCGUCGGGAGCUGGUUGUGGCGCGGCGUUGUAGAGGAGGACGGGGUCCGGGUGGUGGGACUGGGGUAGACGGCGAGCUCGUCCCCACGCUGCCGUGUUCUGCGAGCGCCGCGUCGCCCUCCAGAACUCGCAUGGCAUCCCCACGCUGCCGUGUACUGCGAGCGCCACGCCGCCCUCCACAACUCGCAUGGCAUUCACAUAUGCUACCAUUGUCAAUCAGAGGCACCUCAAUGGAGAACAACCGUGAUUCCAUGGGCGCCAUCCUCCACAAUGAACAGAAGAACCUCCCCAUCUCCAAUAAGGUACACCUCUAAUUGCUGCAUGCCAGGCACUCGAUGAAAUCACCAAGAAGGGGUCGUUCAUGCCCAAAUAACUGGGAGUAGCGAGCAUUGGUGCUGUUGUUGAGCACGGUGCAGCUCACUGUCACUAGUGUGGCUCAGUGGGUCGAGGUGCUUCUAUUGUCUGCCAAAAUUUGGAGCUGGGUCUGCCAUUUCCACCAAUGUCGCCUCCCCCAAGAUCUCGGCGAGAAAUUUGUCUUGGCAGCAUCAUGCGUAGCCACGGCAAAUGUGAGAUCGCCGGUAUUGGCAUAGGGGAUAUGGAUGUCAAUAGAAGAUGGCUUGAUGAUGGUGAAGAUCUAUCAUGGUCACCCACUGAAGGAUACUAAGAUAUGGUAGGAAAAUUGGCUGUUGCAAAAAUGGUGCCAGACCUGCCAGCUAAUUCAGCAUGUGGACGCUACUGAGUGUUGGAAAUUAAAUGGCGUCACUAUACCCAAGAAGGUAAUGGACUUUUUCCUUAAUCUUUUAAAAUCCCUCUUGUUUUUAUGAAUCUUCUCUUUAUUAGUGCUGAUGUAAAAAAAGUUACAGUUCAUGAAGGAGUUUUGUCAGGUCCAAGAUAAUCUCUCCGAUUCAUGUUUCAUAGGUCAAAAGAUAAUUACAAUUAUUUUGAUUUUCUGGUUACUGAAGGCAACAUAUGAUUAUGACCAUAGUAGGCGGAUAUGGUCCAAUGAUUAGUUUCAAGCAGCAUGGCAAAUCAUGUUUAAUAUUUGGAACCAAUCACUCAAAUUAAGAUAGCUUGGAGUGGUGCCUCUGCAGUCACUUCAGCAGAGCAUGAGAGCAAUGUUCUGCGAUAUUAUUUGUGAAAAAUGGUGAACUAAUUGGAACAAAAGACACUUUGUAAGUAUCUUACAUAUACAAUUUAACAUAUUGGACUAUUAAUUUUUUUUGAAAAAUAAUAGUAAAAACAACUCUUUCUGAAGAAAAUAUUCUCAUGACAACUUUAGACCCUGACCACACCUCGCCACCAACUAUUUUUUUUCCUGAAUGUUCAAGCUGGAGGGCUGCACCGAGAGGAGCCUUCCAUCUUUCCCUUUGCUAUUUCCUCUGUAUUGUUUGGUUGGUGUAUAAAUUUUGGUUGUGACAAGCGCUCCAAUUUCUACUGUUCAGUUAUUUAACCAUGUACAGGAUGAGGCUCUGAAGAUGGAGAUGACUGCCAGAAGAACAUACGCUCUAAUUGUAGAAAUCUGAUCCAGUUAUUCAUGAAGGCAGAGGGGAAACUGUAGGGGAGGCCCCUACUGCGGUAAAUAUAUAUUAUAAAAAGAAAAGGUAACUGUACAGAAAUUAAGGAGGGGGGGGGGGACCAAACUAUACAAGGGCAAGGAAGCCCAAACCAGAGGGACAGAGAGAAGAAAUAAAUGCAUAAUGAACAUUAAGAAUGUCAGUGUUAUUUCUCAAUUCAUAUGGAGUUUCAUAUGUUCACAUAAGUUUCAAAAAGUGACUCUUGUGGAUCAGAUGGCUCAUUAAGGCAAAAAUCUUGUCUCUUUUCUGCUAAUAGCAGCACAUGCAUAUGUGUAAUCUCAUUCUGAACUAUUUACUUUUGCUUUCAAGGGCAUUAGCUUGAACAAUUUUACCGGCACACUUCCUUCUGAACUGGGCAACUUGGCCAAACUGGAGCAACUGUAAAAUGCAUCUUUUGAACUGCCAAACCUCACUUCUGAAAGAACUUCAAUUUUGGCAACAAUCUUUGCAUAGUUCAACUUGAGGAUUAUUGCAAUGUUUCAAUUGCAAUUACUUUAAUAGCUCUGGCUUCAGCGGUCCAUUCCCUUCGACGUUCUCAAAGCUUAAGAACUUGAAGACCCUGUAUGCUCAUUACCACAGCUACAAUUGUUAUGUCCGAUGUAAUAUCACACACUUAAUUUAAUAGAUUUUCCUGUGCUUUCAGUGGGCAGCCGACAACGAUUUCAUAGGCAAAAUGCCUGAUUUUAUCGGGAGCUUGACUAAGUUGCAAGAUCUGUAAGAUUAAUUAUCAAUUGCUUCACAAUAUAUUCUUUUGUAGAAAGUUUUCCUAACCAGGAAAUUGUGUAAUCUAAGUUUUCUACAUAUGUUUUUUCCAUAUGUGUUAGCACAAGAACGUUUUUCACUUGUCACUCCUAACAGAAAUGCAGCAUAUUUUCAUGUGGUCAAAUGAAACUGAUUGACACAACAUCCUGAAUGUAGAGCUGCUUUUUUGUCAUGUUCAAAUGACAAAUGGACUUUGCAUCACCCUGCUUAAUAGGGGUUAAAAUUAUGAACUUGUAGGAGGUUCCAAGGAAAUUUUUUUCAAGACC